rnacentral:rRNA from 1 species
UGCCUAAUACAUGCAAGUCGAGCGAACGGACGAGAAGCUUGCUUCUCUGAUGUUAGCGGCGGACGGGUGAGUAACACGUGGAUAACCUACCUAUAAGACUGGGAUAACUUCGGGAAACCGGAGCUAAUACCGGAUAAUAUUUUGAACCGCAUGGUUCAAAAGUGAAAGACGGUCUUGCUGUCACUUAUAGAUGGAUCCGCGCUGCAUUAGCUAGUUGGUAAGGUAACGGCUUACCAAGGCAACGAUGCAUAGCCGACCUGAGAGGGUGAUCGGCCACACUGGAACUGAGACACGGUCCAGACUCCUACGGGAGGCAGCAGUAGGGAAUCUUCCGCAAUGGGCGAAAGCCUGACGGAGCAACGCCGCGUGAGUGAUGAAGGUCUUCGGAUCGUAAAACUCUGUUAUUAGGGAAGAACAUAUGUGUAAGUAACUGUGCACAUCUUGACGGUACCUAAUCAGAAAGCCACGGCUAACUACGUGCCAGCAGCCGCGGUAAUACGUAGGUGGCAAGCGUUAUCCGGAAUUAUUGGGCGUAAAGCGCGCGUAGGCGGUUUUUUAAGUCUGAUGUGAAAGCCCACGGCUCAACCGUGGAGGGUCAUUGGAAACUGGAAAACUUGAGUGCAGAAGAGGAAAGUGGAAUUCCAUGUGUAGCGGUGAAAUGCGCAGAGAUAUGGAGGAACACCAGUGGCGAAGGCGACUUUCUGGUCUGUAACUGACGCUGAUGUGCGAAAGCGUGGGGAUCAAACAGGAUUAGAUACCCUGGUAGUCCACGCCGUAAACGAUGAGUGCUAAGUGUUAGGGGGUUUCCGCCCCUUAGUGCUGCAGCUAACGCAUUAAGCACUCCGCCUGGGGAGUACGACCGCAAGGUUGAAACUCAAAGGAAUUGACGGGGACCCGCACAAGCGGUGGAGCAUGUGGUUUAAUUCGAAGCAACGCGAAGAACCUUACCAAAUCUUGACAUCCUUUGACAACUCUAGAGAUAGAGCCUUCCCCUUCGGGGGACAAAGUGACAGGUGGUGCAUGGUUGUCGUCAGCUCGUGUCGUGAGAUGUUGGGUUAAGUCCCGCAACGAGCGCAACCCUUAAGCUUAGUUGCCAUCAUUAAGUUGGGCACUCUAAGUUGACUGCCGGUGACAAACCGGAGGAAGGUGGGGAUGACGUCAAAUCAUCAUGCCCCUUAUGAUUUGGGCUACACACGUGCUACAAUGGACAAUACAAAGGGCAGCGAAACCGCGAGGUCAAGCAAAUCCCAUAAAGUUGUUCUCAGUUCGGAUUGUAGUCUGCAACUCGACUACAUGAAGCUGGAAUCGCUAGUAAUCGUAGAUCAGCAUGCUACGGUGAAUACGUUCCCGGGUCUUGUACACACCGCCCGUCACACCACGAGAGUUUGUAACACCCGAAGCCGGUGGAGUAACCUUUUAGGAGCUAGCCGUCGAAGGUGGGA